rnacentral:lncRNA from 1 species
GAUUGAGAGGGAGGACAUCAGCCAUAAAAGUUAUCUCUGCAAGGGAGCUAGCACCCCGGGGAGAUAGAAAGCUUGGAUCGGUUCCUGCUUCGUGUGGAUACCCGUAGAGGCCGGACACUUGAACGGCUUCAAGCGAACCUUCAUCCAAAACCACGAUCAUCAGUUUGCGGUGAUCAUCUACCCGCACAAGGUGAAGAUCUGAUCUUCCUAAAGGUUUUAAAAGUUUUAAUCCUUAUCUAUCUACGAACGGUUUUUGAAACAACGUUCAUGCGAUGAACGGUUGAUCCCGCGCAUGCCUCUUCCGCUGCAUCUGAAAUUUUUUGAAAUUUUUCUGUAGCAUGGGUGGGUUUCUAAUAGUGGUAUCAGAGCCUAGGCAUCGUAGAUUAAGGUAAGUAUUAAUUAUCUAAAGGCAUCUUAGAUCUGAAAUUUAAAAGGUUAUGCAUGCUGAAAAUUUUCUGCAUGCAGAUUUUUCAAGGGUGCUGAUUUUUGCAUGUUGAUUUUUAUGUGAUAAAAUGAUGAUUCUAAUUGCAUUGUUAAUGAGAUUAUAAAGUUUAGAAUCAUGAUUAGCAUGAUCAGCAACCUAUGUCGUAACAUAAUCAAUUAAGUUUCAGAUCUGAAAAGUAUAAUUGUUGCAUGCAGUGAUGAUCAUAGGAUUCAAACCCUUUUGGUAUCAAAUGUAAUGACCUGCGAUGUGAUCUGUAAUGUUAUGUAAUUUUUCAAAUGCUUGCAUGUAUCUUAUUUGAUAUUUUGAGAGGCCUGCGUGCCUCCUAAAAUAGAAUGUAAUUUAUUAUUAUUUUUAUUUUACAUCUGGUUGUAUUUCUGUAAUGUGAUGUAUGUCAACGAUCAAGUUGAAGACAAGGCAUGAGAUGAACGGCGAUCUAAGCGGUUGAUGGCGAUGGGAUCAAGAGUUGAUCAAGGAUCGAAUCAAGGAGGCUUGGAACCAAUUCAAGAGUUGAAUACCAAUUGAUCGAUUGACGUGCAUGUGCUUGUAAUACGACCUAAUUAGAAUCCAUGAUCAUCACCUAUUUAAAGUUUAGUUUUAUUUGAUGCUGCGAUUAUAACAGCCUGUGAUGUGCCAUUUGCAUGUGAUGUGAAUGAGAGCGGGGUAGAUAGGUUUACAUGUGAUGUAACAAACCCAAUUUAGACCUAAAUUAAAACCUCCUCAAUCAAGUCGAGAGUGAACCAACAUGAGCAAGUCAUAUUACAUUAAUUGAUCUAAUUGGUGUCUAGGAAAGCAUGAAAGGUGGUUACUUAAUUAGAACCUUACUCUCUGAGUAAGGGGAGCCUCCCACCUGCUUACCUGGCCAUUGUUCGAUUACCUCUUAUGAAGAGCUCAAGUUGCAAACACUAAGGCCUGAUUAACCAAUAUUAAGUCAAUAGGUCUUCCACUGUAGUAGAGCUGCUAAGGUCUUUCUGAUGUUGAUUUGUCUCGGCUGGAUACAGUGGGCAAGUUGCAUCGGGGGGCUGGACCUCUCUAUAGACAAGAGAUGUUGUAGGUUAAAGAUGGGGUUGGGCACCAAUAACUGUUAGGUGAGGACCCAAUGACGACUUUAUUUCUACGGUUAUACGGUGGGUCUGACUUAACUAAGAAAUGGGACCAAUAACUAUUAGGUGAGGUCUUCAUGGCUUAGAGACCAAGUUGCACUGCAACAUGCUUGAGAAGUAUUGUACAAGAGUUGUACACUCAUCCAUCUAUGUGUCACCAAUAACUGUUAGGUGAGGUGGUAUGUAAAUCGGUGGGACCGCAGUACCCACUAGAAACCCUAGUCAUGUAGGAUUUCCAUUUUCUUACCAGGGGAGUGUAAAGGAUUCAAGAAAAUAGUGAGAGGUACAUUUGUUCUAAAAGACCUUAGAACAGAUUAAGGAUCAAGUACAAAAGUCUAACUAGAAUCUUUACUCUCCGCAGAUCAUAAUGUCAGCCUCAAACCCUUUGACCCGUAUUCUUGAGACCAACCGAUUGACUAGAACCAAUUACAAGGACUGGCUAAGAAACCUCAAAAUUGUUUUGAACUGAGAAAAUAGGCUACAUACUCGAUUCAGAUAUCCCCACACUACCAACACGUGCUACUGAUGUUCAGCGUGAGUGCAUCAAAAGUGAUGACAUUAGAGUCAAGUGCUAUAUGAUGGCAUCCAUGUCCAAUGAACUCCAAUGCCAGCAUGAGAAUAUGAAGACUACUAGGGACAUACUAGCACACCUGCAAGAGUUGUAUGGUGAGCAGAGUCGCACA